UGUUGGCGCAACGGGUGAGCUUGUUCUUGCUGGUACGUACAAGGGUGGCCGUACGGAUUCUAGCCUGGUAAUUUUUACAGGCAGGGGCUUAAACAUUCACGACGGAAAUGGGCUGGGGCGAGGUAUAACCUUUGGAAACGGUGAUUAAUACCUCGUAUGCUGAGGAGUGAAAGGUCGAAAGACCGCCAGGGGAUGGGCUUGCGUCUGAUUAGCUAGUUGGUGGGGUAAAUGCCUACCAAGGCGAUGAUCAGUAGCUGGUCUGAGAGGACAAUCAGCCACACUGGGACUGAGACACGGCCCAGACUCCUACGGGAGGCAGCAGUGGGGAAUCUUAGACAAUGGGCGCAAGCCUGAUCUAGCCAUGCCGCGUGUGUGAUGAAGGUCUUAGGAUCGUAAAGCACUUUCGCCAGGGAUGAUAAUGACAGUACCUGGUAAAGAAACCCCGGCUAACUCCGUGCCAGCAGCCGCGGUAAUACGAAGGUCCCAAGCGUUGUUCGGAAUCACUGGGCGUAAAGGGAGCGUAGGCGGCGCGUUAAGUCGGAUGUGAAAUCCCGAGGCUCAACCUCGGAACUGCAUCUGAUACUGCCGUGCUAGAGUAAUGGAGGGGUAGCUGGAAUUCUCGGUGUAGCAGUGAAAUGCGUAGAUAUCGAGAGGAACACUCGUGGCGAAAGCGAGCUACUGGACAUUUACUGACGCUGAGGCUCGAAGGCUAGGGGAGCGAAAGGGAUUAGAUACCCUGUAGUCCUAG
rnacentral:rRNA from 1 species